GUUAUCAUGAAGUACUGUGCCUUUAAGAAUAGCACGGUGUGGUUUUCAGCUGAGCGUGCGCGCUCCCGCGACCUGCAUGCAGAUCUCGGCAUGGAUGCCAAACUCGGCACAACACCGGAUCACUUGCUGCGCUUUGGAGGCUUGAAGCCUUGUAAUGCCAUUAAUUGCACAAAUCGUGAUACUCGUGAAAAUCGCGAGAAGGGACUUACAUUUCACAGAUUUCCACACUGCAAUGCUCAACUUCUAAAGCAAUGGGUAGUAAAUAUGCGGAGAGACAGGUGGAUUCCUGCAGCAGAUCGCAACUCUGUUCAAGUCAUUUCACCGAGGAGAACUUCGACAAGACCGGUCAAGACUGUUAGAUUAGGACAAAAUGCAGUUCCAACAAUAUUUGCCUUUCCUGAUCAUCUUCUAGCAUUUAACUUUGCUACUAUGUAGAUCCUUAUCAUAACAAAUACCUUGUGAACACUGAAAUUGACUUGUUAUGCAUUGUAAUAAAUUACAACAUAAUAAAUGUAGUGAAUGAAGAUA